GCAUUGGUGGGGUAGUGGUAACCUGGGUCGUUGCCAUUUUCGAAUCUUGUGAUCGGAUUCGACCCGCCGGGGGUUCGAUUCCCUCCCAAUGCA